rnacentral:rRNA from 1 species
UACAGAGGGGGCAAGCGUUGUUCGGAAUUACUGGGCGUAAAGGGCGCGUAGGCGGCCUGUUAAGUCGAACGUGAAAUCCCUGGGCUCAACCCAGGAACUGCGUCCGAUACUGGCAGGCUUGAAUUCGGGAGAGGGAUGCGGAAUUCCAGGUGUAGCGGUGAAAUGCGUAGAUAUCUGGAGGAACACCGGUGGCGAAGGCGGUUCUCUGGGCCUUACCUGACGCUGAGGAGCGAAAGCAUGGGGAGCAAACAGG